rnacentral:rRNA from 1 species
CCUACGGGAGGCAGCAGUGGGGAAUAUUGGACAAUGGGCGAAAGCCUGAUCCAGCCAUGCCGCGUGUGUGAAGAAGGCCUUCGGGUUGUAAAGCACUUUCAGUGGGGAAGAAAGCCUUGGGGCUAAUACCCUCGAGGAAGGACAUCACCCACAGAAGAAGCACCGGCUAACUCCGUGCCAGCAGCCGCGGUAAUACGGAGGGUGCGAGCGUUAAUCGGAAUUACUGGGCGUAAAGCGCGCGUAGGCGGUCUGAUAAGCCGGUUGUGAAAGCCCCGGGCUCAACCUGGGAACGGCAUCCGGAACUGUCAGGCUAGAGUGCAGGAGAGGAAGGUAGAAUUACCGGUGUAGCGGUGAAAUGCGUAGAGAUCGGGAGGAAUACCAGUGGCGAAGGCGGCCUUCUGGACUGACACUGACGCUGAGGUGCGAAAGCGUGGGUAGCAAACAGGAUUAGAUACCCCGGUAGUC